UACAGGGGGGGCAAGCGUUGUUCGGAAUUACUGGGCGUAAAGCGUGCGCAGGCGGUUUUGUAAGCCAGAUGUGAAAUCCCCGGGCUUAACCUGGGAAUGGCAUUUGGGACUGCAAGGCUAGAGUGUGGCAGAGGAGACUGGAAUUCCUGGUGUAGCAGUGAAAUGCGUAGAUAUCAGGAGGAAUACCGAUGGCGAAGGCAGGUCUCUGGGCUAACACUGACGCUCAUGCACGAAAGCGUGGGGAGCAAACAGG
rnacentral:rRNA from 1 species